rnacentral:rRNA from 1 species
ACGAACGCUGGCGGCGUGCUUAACCCAUGCAAGUCGAACGGAAAGGCCCCUUUGGGGGUACUCGAGUGGCGAACGGGUGAGUAACACGUGAGUAACCUGCCCUUGACUUCGGGAUAACUUCAGGAAACUGGGGCUAAUACCGGAUAGGAAUCCUUGCUGCAUGGUGGGGGUUGGAAAGCUUCGGCGGUUUUGGAUGGACUCGCGGCUUAUCAGCUUGUUGGUGGGGUAGUGGCUUACCAAGGCUUUGACGGGUAGCCGGCCUGAGAGGGCGACCGGCCACAUUGGGACUGAGAUACGGCCCAGACUCCUACGGGAGGCAGCAGUGGGGAAUAUUGCACAAUGGGCGGAAGCCAGAUGCAGCAACGCCGCGUGCGGGAUGACGGCCUUCGGGUUGUAAACCGCUUUCAGCAGGGGCGAAGCUUGUGGUGACGGUACCUGCAGAAGAAGCACCGGCUAACUACGUG